GCAUUAAUGGGGUAGUGGUAACCUGGGUCGUUGCCAUAAACUCGGAAUACAUCGUACAUUUUCUCGACCCGCCGGGGGUUCGAUUCCCUCUUAAUGCA